ACACAGGAGCUUGAAAUUGAACUC
rnacentral:piRNA from 1 species